UGAGGAAUAUUGGUCAAUGGACGAGAGUCUGAACCAGCCAAGUAGCGUGAAGGAUGACUGCCCUAUGGGUUGUAAACUUCUUUUAUACGGGAAUAAAGUGGAGUAUGCAUACUCCUUUGUAUGUACCGUAUGAAUAAGGAUCGGCUAACUCCGUGCCAGCAGCCGCGGUAAUACGGAGGAUCCGAGCGUUAUCCGGAUUUAUUGGGUUUAAAGGGAGCGUAGGCGGGUGCUUAAGUCAGUUGUGAAAGUUUGCGGCUCAACCGUAAAAUUGCAGUUGAUACUGGGCGCCUUGAGUGCAGCAUAGGUAGGCGGAAUUCGUGGUGUAGCGGUGAAAUGCUUAGAUAUCACGAAGAACUCCGAUUGCGAAGGCAGCAUACCGGCGCUCAACUGACGCUCAGGCACGAAAGCGUGGGGAGCAAACAGGAUUAGAUACC
rnacentral:rRNA from 1 species